UUCAGAACCACACGUUGAGCCAGCACGCACAGUGAGCCGGUGGCACUACAGGACUUCUCUCUGCAUAAGACUUGACGGAGGCACAGUGGGGAGGACCAUUUGAACAUUACAUCCAAUCAAAGUGUCAUUUGCAACCCAGAUGUAAAACUCUAAUGAUUUGGCCAUGAGGCGCUGCUAUUAUAAGCAGCUGGAAAUGAAUAUUAAUGGAAGAGAUUAAAAGUAUUCCAUGCUCAGUAUUUUUAUUGUCCUGCUUCUUACUAGUGUACUUUAGAGCUUCUGCUUCUGACUGAAUUUAUAGUGUUAGAAUAAUCAUUUGCAAUGAUGUUGUCUUUUUGUUGCCUCUUGUAUUAUAUUGAUAGUUCAGAGCUUUGGAGUGUUUUUUAUUUUCUGCAUCAUUUAAUUGCUAUUUUUUUUAUUUUAUUUUUUUUAGUUGUGUGUUUUUUCUGUGAUGUGAUGGAUUGGCAGCUGUCUAUUCCAUUUUAUUAUUUGUAUUUUUUACUUAAAAAAAAAAAUUAAAUAAACUAAUGCUUUGAUUGGAUUUGUCAGUUCACAGAGGACAGUCUAAUGAAUAUAAUCCGCAACUGGAUGGUCUGCUUUUUAAAUGUGACAUUAUCUGAUUUACAAUAACUAAAUACAGUACAAUAAAGGGAAAUAAGAC